CCAUGCUCUGGGCUCCCCUCAUUGUCCUGCUGGGGAUGUGCUGCACAGGUUCCAGCUCCCAGAAUGUGGUGACUCAGCCGCCCUCAGCAUCAGUGUCCCCAGGAAACACCGUGAAACUCUCCUGCACCAUGAGCAGUGGGACCAGCAUCAGUGGCUACAGCAUGUUCUGGUACCAACAGAAACCAGGGAAUUCCCCACGGUACCUGCUGAAAUACAAGUCAGAUUCUGACAAACACCAGGGCUCCGGGGUCCCUGCCCGGUUUUCUGGUUCCAAGGACACAUCCAGCAACACCGGCUAUUUGACCAUUUCUGGGGCCCUGGCGGAGGAUGAGGCUGACUAUUACUGUGCUGUGUGGCACAACGAUGCUUGUCACAGUGACACAGUCAGAUGGGGAAGUGGCACAAAAACUUCUUUGUCCUUCUGGGCUGUGAGGGGAAGUGAACAACUUGCACAAUUGACUCUCUUCCAGCCCCCUGUCACACAUCACACAAACAUCACACCUGCUGGGGAGCAGGGGAAGUGGGGGGAGCUGCAGCUUCAGUUAAGCUUCAACAUCCCCCUUUACAUCUGGAUGGCUUACUGGCCUCCAACUGUCAUAGCUGUUCUCAAGCUGUUUUUCAUAGUCAGUGUGAGCAAAUUUUCAGCCUGGGAAGAAGUGUUUGUGUCAGAUCCUGAACAGAACCAUCUCAUGUUCAUGUCUUCCCAGGUUGUCAUCCAGCUCGACUUCCCGUGCUAG